rnacentral:rRNA from 11 species
GAGGCUUUGAAGCAGCGGCGCCAGUCGUUGUGGAGCCAUCCUUGAAAUACCACCCUUAUUCUUUUCGUUGUCUAACCGCGUCCCUGGAUGGGACCGGGACCCAGCCUGGCGGGCAGUUUGACUGGGGCGGUCGCCUCCUAAAGAGUAACGGAGGCGCGCGAAGGUAGGCUCAAGCUGGUCGGAAAUCAGCUGUUGAGUGCAAUGGCAUAAGCCUGCCUGACUGCGAGACCGACAGGUCGAGCAGAGACGAAAGUCGGUCAUAGUGAUCCGGUGGUCCCGCAUGGAAGGGCCAUCGCUCAACGGAUAAAAGGUACGCCGGGGAUAACAGGCUGAUACUGCCCAAGAGCUCAUAUCGACGGCA